GAAUUUAUGAGUAUUUUUAGUUUUUCUGCGCUGGUAGAAAAUACUCUCGGUUGUACUCUGCAUAAUACAUCCGUUGUAUUAUUAAUGUAGUGUUUCUAACCAGUUAUAUUAUUUUUUAAAUUAUAUUUAUAUUAUCAAAAUUAUUAAAAAAUAUUUUUGUUUUAUUUAUUUUAAAAAAUAUAAUUAAUUAAUUAUUGAUGAUGUAGUGUAAUUGUUACGUAAUAGACUUUCUU
rnacentral:lncRNA from 1 species